rnacentral:rRNA from 1 species
AUGUUUCAUUUGCUUCAGUUACUAUCAGCAAGAACACAUUGUGAGUGCCAGAUCUUUAACUGUUUACCAAUGAAUGUAUGGUCCUCCAACAGUAAUUGCAUUGGUCGUAGCGCACCCGUGCGUCAGGAUGAUGUACACAGCAUGGGCAUUAAUACUAAAAUGGUGUAUGUCGAUAAUGAAAUAUCCAAAGAUACACUUGCCCGAAUCAAUUUUCUUCUCUCUGAAAUUGUUUCUUAUACAGAUGCUAUAUUUUACAAUUUCAGAACACAUAUGCUUGCUAAUGUGAUUACUUAUUCAUUUCAUUAG